rnacentral:rRNA from 1 species
GGGUUGUGAGGUUAAGCGACCAAGCGUACACGGUGGAUGCCCUGGCAGUCAGAGGCGAUGAAGGACGUGCUAAUCUGCGAAAAGCGCCGGUAAGGUGAUAUGAACCGUUAUAACCGGCGAUGUCCGAAUGGGGAAACCCAGUGUGACUCGUCACACUAUCAUUAACUGAAUCCAUAGGUUAAUGAGGCGAACCGGGGGAACUGAAACAUCUAAGUACCCCGAGGAAAAGAAAUCAACCGAGAUUCCCCCAGUAGCGGCGAGCGAACGGGGAGGAGCCCAGAGCCUGAAUCAGCAUGUGUGUUAGUGGAAGCGUCUGGAAAGGCGCGCGAUACAGGGUGAGAGCCCCGUACACAAAAGCGCACAUGCUGUGAGCUCGAUGAGUAGGGCGGGACACGUGGUAUCCUGUCUGAAUAUGGGGGGACCAUCCUCCAAGGCUAAAUACUCCUGACUGACCGAUAGUGAACCAGUACCGUGAGGGAAAGGCGAAAAGAACCCCGGCGAGGGGAGUGAAACAGAACCUGAAACCGUGUACGUACAAGCAGUGGGAGCCCCACCACUAAGCCAGUGGUGAACUCCACAUACGCAUCCUU